rnacentral:rRNA from 1 species
CCUACGGGGGGCAGCAGUGGGGAAUAUUGGACAAUGGGCGAAAGCCUGAUCCAGCCAUGCCGCGUGUGUGAAGAAGGCCUUCGGGUUGUAAAGCACUUUCAGUGGGGAAGAAAGCCUUGGGGCUAAUACCCUCGAGGAAGGACAUCACCCACAGAAGAAGCACCGGCUAACUCCGUGCCAGCAGCCGCGGUAAUACGGAGGGUGCGAGCGGUAAUCGGAAUUACUGGGCGUAAAGCGCGCGUAGGCGGUCUGAUAAGCCGGUUGUGAAAGCCCCGGGCUCAACCUGGGAACGGCAUCCGGAACUGUCAGGCUAGAGUGCAGGAGAGGAAGGUAGAAUUCCCGGUGUAGCGGUGAAAUGCGUAGAGAUCGGGAGGAAUACCAGUGGCGAAGGCGGCCUUCUGGACUGACACUGACGCUGAGGUGCGAAAGCGUGGGUAGCAAACAGGAUUAGAUACCCCAGUAGUC